GCAACUGCCACAACAGACUAGUGGUGGAGCAGCAGGAUGAAAGAACACCACUGCUCCUGCUGCUCCCACCGCAGAGGCGCCUGGUUCCCGUAACAGCAGCAGUACUAACUGGAAAACUGGAACCACAUAAGGAAAAUUUGUGUCCUGAAAGACUUUUUUUUUUUAGUUUUAUAUAUUUGUACAUCAUUUUUCAUUUUUGCACAAUUUUUUCUAAAUUCCUGCCAUGAAAAACUCUUUCAUCACAAACAUCAGAAUUUGAAAUUAUUUACCGGCAGAAAAUUAUUUUGAAAGUCAUCUGCAGUGUAUACCAUUACCUGAGACGUACCUCCGGAUGUCAAGAAACACACAGAAGCAACAAUCUCCACACAUGCUCAGGACACCGUGACCCAGGCCCUGCGUCCCAGGUUCUCCAGCCAAUAGAGCCAGCAGGAGGUCAAGUUCCUCCAUGUGGGUGUGAGAGGAAACUCAAUCUCAGUGUAGAACCCAGAAGAAACACAAGGGAAGGAGCCUCUUCCUUAAAGGGAUGACUUCAAGCUUCUGCAGGAGCCACAAUGAAUCCCUAAAACUAGAGUCUUAACAUGAACAUAUUCUACUGAUGAACCUAAAAGACUUAGUCCCAGAAAGUCCAUGGACAUUGACAAGAGCAUUGUGUGUAAAGAACAAAGAGAACCAAUGGGAAAAAUAACAGGAGCAAAGGCAGAGGAUGUCAAUAGGACAAUAUUAAGAUUGUCUCUUUUUCAAGGGCCUCCCUGGUGGCACGAGGUGUUAAGACGCAACCUAUGAAGCUAUCAGCAGCCACUGUAGCGCAAGCUCGAUCCCCAGCCGGCCAGGGAGCAACACACAUGGCACAGCAGACCUCUCCUGGCUCAACUGCUGCUCCCCUCAGCAGUGUAUUUCAGUACCUGUUCUACUCCCCACUCUUUUCUCUGGUGACUCCUCUCACCCCCUGCACCUCUGGCCUACACCUCAGUUCUUAUAUGCAUAGAUAAAUAAAUCUUUUCAAAAAAAAAGGAAAGAAAUCGAUCUCUCUGUCCAUGUGCAUGAAUUAGCAGAAGAACUACUAAAACAAAGGAGCCAAUAACUUUAGUGACUUCUGAAGGUUAGGAUUAAUGGAGAGACUGAGCAAGUUAACCUUUUCAUACAUCCGUGUUUUGUUUGACAAGUAGAUUUUCUUAGGUAAGGAAGCAAAAAUUUGAAGAAAUAAAUGGAAAAGAAGAAAAUAGUAAAACUAAGAAAGAAUCAAAGAAGGAAGGGAUCUGUAUUUCA